rnacentral:misc_RNA from 1 species
UUUCCGUAGGUGAACCUGCGGAGGGAUCAUUAUCGAACUAGCGAGGGUUGUUGCUUGGGAUGACAAGACACCAUCUGCAGGCCUUCAUCAUUCACAAACCCCAGUGCACCUAUUGUAGGCGGGUCGUAGGGCCGACCUCGGUUGGUCUGAAAGCAAGGCUAUGUUUACACUCGCUUCAGUUCAAGAAUGUCAUUUUCGAUUAACGCAUUAUAUACAACUUUCAGCGACGGAUCUCUUGGCUCUC